rnacentral:rRNA from 1 species
GACGAACGCUGGCGGCGUGCUUAACACAUGCAAGUCGAACGAGGUCCAUGGAGCUUGCUCCGGAAGAUCUAGUGGCGAACGGGUGCGUAACACGUGAGAAACCUGUCCCGGACUUGGGAAUAACAGUCGGAAACGACUGCUAAUACCGAAUACCUUCGGAUCGUCGCAUGGCGAACCGAAGAAAGCGUAUGCGGUUCGGGAGGGUCUCGCGGCCUAUCAGCUAGUUGGUGAGGUAACGGCUCACCAAGGCAUCGACGGGUAGCUGGUCUGAGAGGAUGAUCAGCCACACUGGGACUGAGACACGGCCCAGACUCCUACGGGAGGGCAG